rnacentral:rRNA from 1 species
GGAAUAUUGGUCAAUGGGAGGAAUCCUGAACCAGCCAUGCCGCGUGGGGGAAGAAGGCCCUAUGGGUUGUAAACCCCUUUUACGCCGGAGUAAUAAGGUCCAUGCGUGGGCCGAUGAGAGUACGGCGGGAAUAAGCAUCGGCUAACUCCGUGCCAGCAGCCGCGGUAAUACGGAGGAUGCGAGCGUUAUCCGGAUUUGUUGGGUUUAAAGGGUGCGCAGGCGGCGCGUUAAGUCAGCGGUGAAAUGCCCCGGCUCAACCGGGGAGCUGCCGUUGAUACUGGCGUGCUGGAGUGCGGACGGCGCCGGCGGAAUGUGUCAUGUAGCGGUGAAAUGCUUAGAUAUGCCACAGAACACCGAUCGCGAAGGCAGCUGGCGAGGCCGUGACUGACGCUGAGGCACGAAAGCGUGGGGAUCAAACA